AACAAGGCUAUCCCAGCAUGCUUUGCACGCCGGCUGUGGAUUUUCAACAGGCAGAGAAAGGGGAGAGCUAUUAAGUUUUAAACGACUGCAGGUGUCCAGGGUCAGGAGAGGCUUUACCUGUCCUGGGAGAGAGGCCUUCUACUGUCAUCAUGUUAUUGUUAUUUAGCUGUUUGAUAUUUGAACACAUUUAUUAAAACAAAUACUAACUGAGAA